rnacentral:rRNA from 1 species
UACAGAGAGUGCAAACGUUGUUCGGAAUUACUGGGCUUGAAGCGCACGUAGGCGGCGUUGUAAGUGUCGGGUGAAAUCCCACGGCUCACCCGUGGAACUGCCCGGCAUACUGCGAUGCUAGAGUGUGGUAGGGGAGAGCGGAACUCCUGGUGGAGCGGUGAAAUGCGUAGAUAUCAGGAGGGACACCGGUGGCGAAGGCGGCUCUCUGGUCCACAACUGACGCUGAGGUGCGAAAGCUAGGGGAGCAAACGGG